GUAUUUUUGGAAAUUAAUUCCAUUAAAAAUAAAAUAAAAUCAGAACGUUGAUUUGAAUUUUGACUUUUGUUUCAAUGACUAUUGAGAAUUCGAGAAAGGCAAUAAAAAAUGAAGAAACUUGCCUAAAAACUGUUUUAAAAAAGAGGCAAUAAAAUCAUAUGAGGCGGUGGAAAUUUCCCUCCCAAAAUUCCCUCUUUUUUUUAUUUUUUUAUUUUUUAUUUCCAGGAUAGGUAAAUGCCCUCAUCAAUUUGCACGAUUUUCACUCUUGCACAGGAUUCUCUCUCAAUUCGUAGUUCUCUCCCCCCUCACAAUCGCACACCCGCAUAGUCUCCUACUUGACUGGAGAGCCAACUAUGCUAAAAUCCACUGAAGAUGCUGACCAAGGUUUUUCUCAUUUAAGGAGAGUCGAGAGAGUACACAACAACAGCAACAUGUAAACCAGAACAAUGCUUCAAUGGAAUUGAUCAAUAGUGUGAUUGGCACUGAUGAGGAGGGUCGGUCUCGACAACGGAUUCUUACAUUUGCUGCCAGGAGGUAGUCAUUGAUUUUGAAUUAUGAAUUAUCAGCUUGUUUGGCAUUACUUGUACCUUUGUUUCUUUUCAAAUUUUAUAAUAAGAUAUUGAGUUGUAUGCUUCUAGAAUAUCACACAAAAAUUAUGGCAAAGAAGUAAAUUAUGACAAAAAUACAU